UACGUAGGUCCCAAGCGUUGUCCGGAUUUAUUGGGCGUAAAGCGAGCGCAGGUGGUUUCUUAAGUCUGAUGUAAAAGGCAGUGGCUCAACCAUUGUGUGCAUUGGAAACUGGGAGACUUGAGUGCAGAAGAGGAGAGUGGAAUUCCAUGUGUAGCGGUGAAAUGCGUAGAUAUAUGGAGGAACACCAGUGGCGAAGGCGACUCUCUGGCCUGUAACUGACACUGAGACUCGAAAGCGUGGGGAGCAAACAGG
rnacentral:rRNA from 1 species